rnacentral:sRNA from 1 species
UGUCUAUAGGAUUAAGGGUCAAGUCGGC